rnacentral:rRNA from 1 species
UACGAAGGGGGCUAGCGUUGUUCGGAAUUACUGGGCGUAAAGCGCGCGCAGGCGGUCUUCCAAGUCAGUGGUGAAAGCCCGGAGCUCAACUCCGGAACUGCCAUUGAAACUGUUAGACUUGAGGAUGAGAGAGGUGAGUGGAAUUCCCAGUGUAGAGGUGAAAUUCGUAGAUAUUGGGAAGAACACCGGUGGUGAAGGCGGCUCACUGGCUCAUUACUGACGCUCAGGCGCGAUAGCGUGGGGAUCAAACAGG